CCUACGGGUGGCAGCAGUGGGGAAUAUUGCACAAUGGGGGCAACCCUGAUGCAGCAACGCCGCGUGAGUGAUGAAGUUCUUCGUUACGUAAAGCUCUAUCAUCAGGGAAGAACAUGACGAUACUUGAGCAAUAACCCCCGGCCACCAACGAGCCAGCCGCCGCGGGAAUACGACGGGGGCAGGCGUCAUCCGGAUUGACUGGGUGUAAAGGGGGCGUCGUCGGUGAGGUAAGGAGGGAGCGAAAUGCCUCGGGUCAACUGCGGAACCGCUGUUGAAACUGCCAGACUAGAGUGCGGGAGGGGUAAGCGGAAUGCCUAGUGUAGCGGUGAAAUGCGUAGAUAUUAGGAGGAACACCGGGGGCGAAGGCGGCUUACUGGACCGUAACUGACGUUGAGGCUCGAAAGCGUGGGGAGCAAACAGGAUUAGAUACCCGUGUAGUC
rnacentral:rRNA from 1 species